UAAAGUGGCGACCGGGUGAGUAACACGUGACUAACCUACCUUCAAGUGGGGGAUAACCUCGGGAAACCGGGGCUAAUACCGCAUAACAUCUUUGGAGCGGAAAUUCUGGAGAUCAAAGGAGCAAUUCGCUGGAAGAGGGGGUCGCGGCUGAUUAGCUAGUUGGCGGGGUAAUGGCCCACCAAGGCUUUGAUCGGUAGCCGGCCUGAGGGGGCGCACGGCCACACUGGAACUGAAACACGGUCCAG
rnacentral:rRNA from 1 species